AAAGCACUGUCACUGCGUAAUAUGUUUCGUUUUUAGAGUCCUGAAGAAAGGGAAGCGAAAGAAGAAGAGUUACACCGAAUACAGCACAACUGCAUUCUUGAGUGACUAGUGACUAGACUCACUAGAGUAGUAGAGAGUAGUCUCAGUAGUGUGUGACUGUCUAGAAUCUAAAUAAUAAUAAUUUAAUAUAGAUAGAGUUCUAGACUCUAGUACUUUAGUAGUUGAAAAGACGAAAGUCUUUGUAUCUGACAAGAUCAUCAAGUGACACUAGUGAUUAGUGUAACAAAGAAUUCAAAGAUGCUUAUUAAAGUAAAGACUCUCACAGGAAAAGAGGUA
rnacentral:sRNA from 1 species